rnacentral:rRNA from 1 species
ACGAGGAAUGCCUAGUAAGCGCGAGUCAUCAGCUCGCGUUGACUACGUCCCUGCCCUUUGUACACACCGCCCGUCGCUCCUACCGAUUGAAUGGUCCGGUGAAGUGUUCGGAUCGCGGCGACGGGGGCGGUUCGCCGCCCCCGACGUCGCGAGAAGUCCAUUGAACCUUAUCAUUUAGAGGAAGGAGAAGUCGUAACAAGGUUUCCGUAGGUGAACCUGCGGAAGGAUCAUUG